UUCCUACGGGGGGCAGCAGUAGGGAAUUUUCGUCAAUGGGCGCAAGCCUGAACGAGCAAUGCCGCGUGAACGAGGCAGGUCUUCGGCUCGUCCCGUUCUGUUGCCGGGGCCCACGAGCGGAGAGAGGAAAUGAACUCCGAUUGAUAUUACCCUUCGAGGAAGUCACGGCUAACUACGUGCCAGCAGCCGCGGUAAUACGUAGGUGGCGAGCGUUAUCCGGAAUGAUUGGGCGUAAAGGGUGCGUAGGCGGCCUGCUAAGUCUGGAGUGAAAGGUACCGGCUCAACCGGUACAGGCUCUGGAAACA
rnacentral:rRNA from 1 species